rnacentral:lncRNA from 1 species
AACAAAACCUUCCCUACCCCUCCCUCGCCCAGCACACCCAGCAUGAGCCCCAUCUGCGAGCCCUCGGCUGGCUGAGGGUGCUGGAAGCAGCCUUACCCUGUUUGUCUCACCCCCGGCUCCUCUUAAUCAGUUUUCCACCAUUACAGCAGCCACACCAUUGCCUUUUUUUUUUUUUUUUCUUUCUUUCUCCUCCCUUGAAUCUCUCUCCAAAUAUUCCCUCUGCCGGCUGGAUCGCUCGGGAACCUCGCCUUUUGCGGCUUAAGGCAAGACCCCAAAACCGUCUAGCAGAGACCACUACAGCGUAAUUAUAAUUAAAAAUGGAACCCCGCAAGAUCCGAGGUCUCCUCCCUUUUCGCCUGGAAGCCUUCGAGAGGGAAUCAGUCCCACCCCCACCUUUUUCCCCUCCUCCUCCAGCUACAAACACACUUCUUUUUUAGGGGAAGCUGGAGCCCCGAGGAGGUGGGAAGCGCGGGGGAGGGGGGCUAUUUCCAACCCCGCCAUACCGAGGGUCGCCGAGAACGGGGGCGAUGAGGAGGCGGCGGCCCGGGGGGCCCCCCGGUGCGGCGGCGGAAGGGGAGGACAGGGGAGGAAAGGAGAGGGAAAGGAGAAGUGCGGCAGGAGGAGGAAGCGCGGGGGAGGGGAAGGAGCGGGGCUGAGGGGGAGCCGAGGGAAGAUGGCCCCGGGGUGGGGCCGGCCGGGGCUCGGCGGGCGGGAAACGCGUUCUGAGGGACCCCCGCCCUCCCCGCACCCCUCACACGGUUACCUGCCCUCCCGGCCGCUGCUCAUGAACCGGGCCGGUCCGUCCGCCGCCCGCGGUCCUGCCCGCGUCCCGCCGGCCUGGGGAGGGAAGGGGGGCGGAGGAGGAGGAGGAGGCGGCGGAGGAGGAGCGGGGGAGCCGCCCGCGCUGCGCCCGGCGGGUCCCGGGGAAGGCGGCUGAGCCGAGCGGGAAGGAGGGAUCCGCGGGGGAGGGGGUGUCGCUGGGUCUCGACUCCUCCUCAGCCCGCUCAGCUCCCCGCAGCCAUCGGGCAGCGGCAGCCUGGGCGCGGCGAACCUCCCUCCUUCCCCUCCUCCCUCCGCCCCGCCCGUGCUGCCCGCCCGGGAAACCCCGGCUCGGCUCCCACCCCGCCCCGGCCCGCAGCCCCGCCGCUCCCCGCCGACCCUCACCGGAGGCUCCGCCGCCCCGCCCUGGCCCCGCACAGCCCUGGCCGCCGCGAGCCUCACCGGAGGCUCCGCCGCCUCCACCGGGCACCCGCCCAGCGCGGCCGGGAGGGAAGGCGGGCGGUGCGCGCUCCCGGGAGCCUCGCGGUGCGCGCUCCCGCGCGGGCAACGCCCUUCGGCCCCUUACGCUGGCGGCGGCCGCGCGCUUCCCGCCUCCCGCCCGCGCUCCCGCGCGCUCCCUCCCCUCAGCGAACAAAGGGCGAGGGCGGGCGGCGUGCCGGGGCUUCGCUGCCGCCCCGCCGGCCCUGCAGGCCGAAAACAAGGCUGAAAGAGCCGGAUGGGAACAAAAAGACGGGACUUCACAUAAACCAGGCAGGAGAGAUGUUACCAAAAUGGAAUCAUUUCCCACCAGAACUCACGUACUGAAACCCUAAUUAAUAUUGAAAAGUCUGUGCUCUGCCGUGUCUUCAAAUCCAUGGAAUCUGGGUAAGGAGCCUGGCUCAGUCAGAAGUGUUUAUAGCACAUUUACACACAGCCAGUGCUUUCACCACACCUAUUCUUUUGUAAAAAUACAACUGUUGCAAUAGUUCCUGUUUCUGAUCCAGUGCCUUAAUUCUCUCUUGUUCUCCAGUGAGAAGUUUGAUUGAUGCACAGUUACUCUGCUGGUAUGGGGAGGGUUGGAAAUGGUUUUUUACAGAGGGGAGGUUGUUCCAGGUGGGGUUGGCUGAGCUUUGGUUUGGUUUGUGCAUCUCACUGGACAAAUCGGUUUUGCUGCAUUGAAAAAACCUGUGGCAGAAGAAUCCCACAUUGCUGUGGGCAACAAGGUGGUUUAUUCUGCUGUCCUCAUGUAAUCCUGUGUUGGGAGCUGCUGCACGGGCAUGAUCUUAACUUUUUAAAUUUCUUUUUCAUUUUUAAUCUUAAUUUUUCACACAGAUCCGUGAACUGCCAACAAACUGAAUUUGUUUGUACUGUUCAGUGGGUGAAUGUGCAAAUCACCAAGUGGACUUACCAGAUAUAAGUUUAUCUCUUUCUAUACACUGCAAAAAUAUUGUUUCUAACUAAAAGUUUAGCUGAAAAUACCUGUGGCUGCUUGAAGAUGUGGUAUAGAUCAUUAAUAAAAGCAAUUCUAAUGUUUUUUUUUGUUAGUCCACUUUGAAGUUACAGUUUUGAUCCUGGGUUAGAGCUACAGAAAACUUCUCUGUGGAGAGGUUGCUCCAUAGUUCUCCAUUUCAAAACUUCUUGCACCUUUUUCUCAACCAGCUGACAUUAACCCCUUUGUUGGGAUCAUUCUGAGUUAGGUGAAGCUGUGGGCAGUUUCACUUCUUAAAGUAAUUAAUUUUUGCAUACAAAUACUAUUGUAAUAACCGAAAUUUCCAGGUUGUUACCUGAGUGAAAAUAUUGCACGAUUUUUAUGGUAAAUCAAGAUGCUCCUGGUCUCUGAGGGAAUAACUGUCACCAAGCAGGUAUAAAUUGUGCUUUCUAGUAAAGGGUGGAAAAUCAGCACUUCUCAAAAUUGCCAAGCUCCUCAGAUGGUAUAAGGAUACUGCUGAAAUAAUAAAUAAUUAUGUUUUGCCUCCUUUCCUUGUAACCUGAGAUAAGAGUUUUUAAUAGACUGACUCGAAACUCCACCUCGUGUUCCAGAAUCGCACCAUUUCCCAGUCCAUAACGUUUUGUAUCUGCCUUUGUAUCCUCUGAUGGCUGCAGAGUGCAUUUUGUGAGCCCUGGAGAGAGCCAAGGAGACACUCACGUGGUUCUGAAUUAGUUUGAAGUUCUCCAUUUGGUCCCUAAAGCAAAGCAGAACUCUCAUUUCUCCUGACAUUGCACCAAAAUUAAAGGAAGCUUAUACAAUGUCUAAACUUCAGCUGUGCUUCAAUCCUGAGUGUAUUCAGAACUCAUUUUUUUUCUAUUGUUUUAUUUUUUAAAACCUUAUUCAGAGCUGUUCCAACCUGCUGUUAUUUGCCACUUCUUUAACAAUUGGAUGACAAUCAUCACUGCUUCCUUCUGAGGAAGGACCCAGGUAGCAAAAUAUCAAGAUCAUUCAUUAGAGAAAAUAAAUAAGUAAAAGCAAACUGAAUAGAAAUCCUCAGUGGGGCCAGGCAGAGCAAAAAGUAGGAGUAGCUCAGUCUCCUUAGUUACAUUCUGCAUUCUCACAGUUUCUUUCAGUUUCCCUAUUAUUAUGGAACAAAAGAGUUAUUUUAAACACUUCUGAGAACAUGGCAUAAAAUUAGCAAAACUGUGUUAGUCUGCAGAGAAUAUAAUUGACAAGGUUUUAAGGUAAGGGGAACUGGUUCUGAGAGUCUUUGUGUCAGUUGGGAAAGUCCAGAGACCUGAGUUUAUAACUAAUGCAGUCCUGGAAGAUGUUCCUGAAUCCCUUUCUUAUGGUGAGGAUCAGGAUGGGUUAUGUGUGAAAUGGGUUCAAGGACAGUUAAUUCAGGAUUGUUGAGAGACUUUGGAAGUCACUUCAAAAUCCUUUGGAAAAAUCCAUUGCUGUGUGAGCAGAGCAGCAGAGUUGUG